CUUCCUCAGCUCUAAUGAUCUGGAUGGCAGUGCUCCUUAUACAUGACUCAAGCUGUCAGAUUGUUCUGACUCAGUCUCCAUCAGCCCAGUCUGUGACUUUAGGACAAAGUGUGUCCAUCAACUGUAAGGCAUCUACCUCUGUUAGUGAUGAAGUGGACUGGUACCUUCAGAAACCUGGUCAGGCUCCACAGCUCCUUAUAUACUGGGGUACUAACCGGCAGUCUGGGAUUCCAGAAAGGUUCAGUGGUCAAUACUCUGGGACCAGCUUCACCCUAACAAUCAGUUCCUUCCAGCCUGAAGAUGCAGGACAUUAUUACUGUCAGCAGGACUAUCAACGUCCUUUCACACAGUGAUAAAGAGUCGUACAAAAACCUCCUUGUGAAGCUGCAGGUGUUGAAG